CGACCUCAGAUCAGGCGGGACUACCCGCCGGAUUUCAGCAUAUUAAUAAGCGGAAGAAAAGAAAACAACCGUGAUUCCCUUAGUAGCGGCGAGCGAACCGGGAAAAGCCCAUCGCCGAAUCUCGCCGCGCACUUUUGUGUCGCGGCACGAAUGAGAGUUGUGGCGUACGGGCCGGCCUCGUUGCCGGGGCGCACGUGACGGUCCAAGUCUCCCUUGAACGGGGCCAUGGCCUGCAGAUGGUGCCAGGUCAGUAGAGGCCGUCACAGCGUUCCGGGAUCGGACCGCGCCUUCGAGUCGGGUUGCUUGAGAGUGCAGCCCGAAGCGGGUGGUAAACUCCAUCUAAGGCUAAAUACGGCCACGAGACCGAUAGUUUACAAGUACCGUGAGGGAAAGUUGAAAAGAACUUUGAAGAGAGAGUUCAUAAGAACGUGAAACCGCUCGGUUGUAAACGGACAGAGCUCGCGAAUCCCCGCCGGGCGAAUUCACGGUCGGUCUAACCGCCGGCCGGAUCUUUCGCUCGGUUAGCGGACGUCGCGACCCGUUGGGCGCCGGCCGAAUGGCCCGGGUGACGUUCGUCGCGUCGGUCGCGUUUCGGCGUGACCGUUCGCGCCGAGCCCCGGUGCUCAUGGUCGGCUCGCCCGACGGCAAGAACCGUCGACGCGGCCCCGUCGCAGGCGGGGUCCCGUCGGUCGGCGACGUGUUUCGAGCUACUUUCCGACCCGUCUUGAAACACGGACCAAGGAGUCUAACGUGUGCGCGAGUCAACGGUGAUCUUACGAAAAACCACGUUUGGCGCAAUGAAAGUGAACCGUUUACGGUGCGGACGAUGGCCUAGCGACCGAACCCACCGGCGUUCAAAGUCGCGCUGGUCCGCAGUCCGGGGGCGUCUCCGCCAAGUCGGCUUCGGCCGGCUGGGGGCGCACCCUUAGCGCACACGUUGGUACCCGAAAGAUGGUGAACUAUGCCUGGCCAGGAUGAAGUCAGGGGAAACCCUGAUGGAGGUCCGCAGCGAUUCUGACGUGCAAAUCGAUCGUCUGAGCUGGGUAUAUGGGGCGAAAGACUAAUCGAACCAUCUAGUAGCUGGUUCCAUCCGAAGUUUCCCUCAGGAUAGCUGGCGCCGAUGUGUCCCGCCCGUUCGCGGGCGUACGGACGCCGGUGGGACUCCGCGCUGUACGGCGCGGUAACAACACGCUCGUAACACGGAGGAUGUCUCAUACGGUAAAGCGAAUGAUUAGAGGACAUUGGGGCCGAAACGACCUCAACCUAUUCUCAAACUAUAAAUGAGUGAGAUCGCCGGCUUUACCUGGUACACCGCGUGAACCGCGUGCGAAGCCGGCGACGGAACCCUAGGCGCUUAGUGGGCCAUUUUUGGUAAGCAGAACUGGCGCUGCGGGAUGAACCGAACGCCGAGUUAAGGCGCCGAAAUCGACGCGUAUUCAGAGACCAUGAAAGGCGUUGGUUGCUGAUGACAGCAGGACGGUGGCCAUGGAAGUCGGAAUCCGCUAAGGAGUGUGUAACAACUCACCUGCCGAAGCAACUAGCUCUGAAAAUGGAUGGCGCUGGAGCGUCGUGCCUAUACUCGGCCGUCGACGGCAUAGUGGGGCCAGUCGUCGCUCGCGGCGGCCGGUCCCGGCAAGCCUCGACGAGUAGGAUGGCGCGGCGGUGUGCGUCGAAGGCAUGUCGCGAGACCGCCUGAGCCGCCGUCGGUGCAGAUCUUGGUGGUAGUAGCAAAUACUCGAGAGGGGCCCUCGGGGGCUGCCGUGGAGAAGGGUUUCUUGUG
rfam:Acyrthosiphon pisum strain LSR1 Contig12923, whole genome shotgun sequence.